rnacentral:rRNA from 1 species
ACAUGCCUACAACAUAGCAUUAAUGCAUCAGAUCCCAUUAUAACUCCACAGUUAAGCAUGCUCAGGCUAUAUUAGUAAUGGGAUGUGUGACCACCCAAGAAGUUCUAGUGUUUUACAUGCC